rnacentral:rRNA from 1 species
AAAUGAAUUGACGGGGACUCGCACAAGCGGUGGAUUAUGUGGUUUAAUUCGUAGGUAAACGAAGAACCUUACCAUGUCUUGAAACCUAACUGAAAGCCCGGAGAAACUCGGGCCCCCGCAAGGCUGUUAGGCAGGUGAUGCAUGGCCGUCGUCAGCUCGUGGUUUGAACUGUUCCCUUAAGUGGGCUAACGAGCGCAACCCUCGUCGUCUGUUACAAGUGUCAGGCGAGACCGCCCAGCACUUUGUUUUUAAACAAUCGUUUGAAGAUAAAGUGCUGGGAGGAAGGAGAGGAUGACGCCAGGUCAGCAUGUCCCUUUGAUGACAUGGGCCACACACAUAAUACAAUGGUUACUACAGUGGGUCGCGACGCAGUGAUGCUGAGCCAAUCCUCAAAGGUAGCCCUAGUUCGGAUAGAAGUCUGCAACUCGACUUCUUGAAGCUGGAAUCGCUAGUAAUCGCAGGUCAGCCAAACUGCGGUGAAUACGUUCUCGAGUCUUGUACACACCGCCCGU